GAUGAACGCUGGCGGCGUGCCUAAUACAUGCAAGUCGAGCGAACAGACGAGGAGCUUGCUCCUCUGACGUUAGCGGCGGACGGGUGAGUAACACGUGGAUAACCUACCUAUAAGACUGGGAUAACUUCGGGAAACCGGAGCUAAUACCGGAUAAUAUAUUGAACCGCAUGGUUCAAUAGUGAAAGACGGUUUUGCUGUCACUUAUAGAUGGAUCCGCGCCGCAUUAGCUAGUUGGUAAGGUAACGGCUUACCAAGGCAACGAUGCGUAGCCGACCUGAGAGGGUGAUCGGCCACACUGGAACUGGGACACGGUCCAAACUCCUACGGGAGGCAGCAGUGGGGAAUCUUCCGCAAUGGGCGAAAGCCUGACGGAGCAACGCCGCGUGAGUGAUGAAGGUCUUCGGAUCGUAAAACUCUGUUAUUAGGGAAGAACAAAUGUGUAAGUAACUAUGCACGUCUUGACGGUACCUAAUCAGAAAGCCACGGCUAACUACGU
rnacentral:rRNA from 1 species